UACGUAGGGGGCGAGCGUUGUUCGGAAUUACUGGGCGUAAAGGGCUCGUAGGCGGCCAACUAAGUCAGACGUGAAAUCCCUCGGCUUAACCGGGGAACUGCGUCUGAUACUGGAUGGCUUGAAUCCGGGAGAGGGAUGCGGAAUUCCAGGUGUAGCGGUGAAAUGCGUAGAUAUCUGGAGGAACACCGGUGGCGAAGGCGGCGUGCUGGAUCGUCUUCUGACGCUGAGGCGCGAAAGCUAGGGGAGCAAACGGG
rnacentral:rRNA from 1 species